CUAGUUAGUCCAACUACUAAUCAUAUAUACUUGCUCCAAAGAUUUAAGCCAUGCAUGUCUAGGAACAUGGCGUAUUAAGGCCAUACAGCGAAUGGCUUAUUAAAUAAUUUAUGGUUCCAUGGAUUGUACUUAGAUAACUGUGGCAAUCUAGACCUAAUACAAGCAGCAGAUCUCCGAUCCUCUGGAGACCAUCGCUUUUAUUAAUCCAAAACUAACCGGACCUCGUGUCUGCAUUAUGUGGUGACUAUGUAUAACUUCGGACUGAUCGCAAGAGCCCGUCCUGGUGACGUACCUUUCAAAUAUCUGCAUUGUCAACUGUCGAUGGUAGAUUGAUUGUACGUUUAGAGUAAUCGUAACGGGUGACGAGGAUUCUGCAAACGAAUCCUGAGAGAUGGUUACUACAUCCAAGGAAGGCAGCAAGUGCCAAAAUCACAAGCUUCCAGAAAGUGCAAGUAGUCACAAAAAAUAACAAUGCUGGACCCGGUAAAUGGAAUAAGUAUUUUCUAAAUCCAUUGACGAGAAGCAAAUGGAGGCAGAGUCUGUGCCAGCAGCCAAGGCAAUUGGAGCUACCCAGCGUGUAUU
rnacentral:ncRNA from 1 species